UGCGUAGGCGGUCCUUUAAGUCAGGAGUGAAAGGCUACGGCUCAACCGUAGUAAGCUCUUGAAACUGGGGGACUUGAGUGCAGGAGAGGAGAGUGGAAUUCCUAGUGUAGCGGUGAAAUGCGUAGAUAUUAGGAGGAACACCAGUAGCGAAGGCGGCUCUCUGGACUGUAACUGACGCUGAGGCACGAAAGCGUGGGGAGCAAACA
rnacentral:rRNA from 1 species